UACGAAGGGGGCUAGCGUUGCUCGGAAUUACUGGGCGUAAAGCGCACGUAGGCGGCUUUCUAAGUCGGAGGUGAAAUCCUGGAGCUCGACUCCAGAACUGCCUUCGAUACUGGAGAGCUUGAGUCCGGGAGAGGUGAGUGGAACUGCGAGUGUAGAGGUGAAAUUCGUAGAUAUUCGCAAGAACACCAGUGGCGAAGGCGGCUCACUGGCCCGGUACUGACGCUGAGGUGCGAAAGCGUGGGGAGCAAACAGG
rnacentral:rRNA from 1 species